UGUGCACAUGCCAUAAUUAUACGCUUGAUGGCGCUGGGCUGGCAGCGAUGAUUACGUAGCCGCCUUUGUUGUUGUUUAUUCAUUAAUGAGUGCAACACAAAGCGGCGGGCGUCGUCCUGUGUUUCAGUCUUGAUAGCUCAUUACGCUGACACUUGAUUGUUGCACGAACCAGCCAGCAGGAGCAAACAGCAGACAGCAAGAGUUGCCACCAAAUUUCACUAGUCGACACGGGAGGCAACCUUCAGUGAUUAGGGAUGUGAAUCCAUGGCAUUCUUGCCAGUUCUCAAAAGCAUAAAUAUAAGUGUCUAGUAAUGUAAUUGUAUUUAACUCUUAAACGUUUUAAUGAAAAUGAUACGCCAAUGGAAUUCAACGUGUGCACUCUAUUUGUUUUUAGCCUAUUAAAAUGCAAAUUUUCGCACGAAUAAAUUUAUCAAAUUUA